rnacentral:rRNA from 1 species
UACGAAGGGGGCUAGCGUUGCUCGGAAUCACUGGGCGUAAAGAGCUCGUAGGCGGUUUGUCGCGUCUGCUGUGAAAACUCGGGGCUUAACUCCGGGCCUGCAGUGGGUACGGGCAGACUAGAGUGCGGUAGGGGAGACUGGAAUUCCUGGUGUAGCGGUGAAAUGCGCAGAUAUCAGGAGGAACACCGGUGGCGAAGGCGGGUCUCUGGGCCGUAACUGACGCUGAGGAGCGAAAGCGUGGGGAGCGAACAGG